rnacentral:rRNA from 1 species
AACGAACGCUGGCGGCGUGGAUUAGGCAUGCAAGUCGAACGUGAAAACACCGACGUAGCAAUACGAAGGUGCAAGUAAAGUGGCGAACGGGUGAGUAACGCGUGGGAAACCUGCUCCAGAGUGGGGGAUAACAGUUCUAACGGACUGCUAUACCGCAUGAUGCUACGGGUCGAUGACUUCGUAGUUGAAGGAGGCCUCUGUUUCAAGCUUUCGCUCCGGAAUGGUCCCGCGUCCAUUAGCUUGUUGGUGGGGUAACGGCCUACCAAGGCAACGAUGGGUAGCCGGCCUGAGAGGGUGGUCGGCCACACUGGGACUGAGAUACGGCCCAGACUCCUACGGGAGGCAGCAGUCGAGAGGCUUCGGCAAUGGGGGAAACCCUGACCGAGCGACGCCGCGUGGGUGAUGAAGAUUCUCGGAUCGUAAAACCCUGUCAGGUGGGAUGAAAUACCAUUCGGUUAACACCCGGGU